rnacentral:misc_RNA from 1 species
GAAUGAAGAACGUAGUGAAAUGCGAUAAGUAAUGUGAAUUGCAGAAUUCAGUGAAUCAUCGAAUCUUUGAACGCACAUUGCGCCCGCCAGCAUUCUGGCGGGCAUGCCUGUUCGAGCGUCAUUUCAACCCUCAAGCUCUGCUUGGUGUUGGGGCCCUACGGUUGACGUAGGCCCUUAAAGGUAGUGGCGGACCCUCUCGGAGCCUCCUUUGCGUAGUAACUAACGUCUCGCAUUGGGAUUCGGAGGGACUCUUGCCGUAAAACCCCCAAAUUUUCUAAUGGUUGACCUCGGAUCAGGUAGGAAUACCCGCUGAACUUAAGCAUAUCAAUAAGCGGAGGA